GCAUUGGUGGUUCAGUGGUAGAACUCUUGCCUUUCACGCAGGAGACCUGAGUUCAAUUCCUAGCCAAUGUA
rfam:Loxodonta africana unplaced genomic scaffold scaffold_7, whole genome shotgun sequence.